rnacentral:lncRNA from 1 species
GGAAACAGCACUCGCAGCAGAGCGGUCGUCGCUGGGACUGCGUGACCCAGGCACUGCCUCCAUGCACUCCGUGGUUUAGGAUCCUGCUAACACCAAAUGAAUCCAUGCUAUGGGUGUUUUUAAGACCCUAAAGCUUUGCACGCAGCAAAUACAUUCGGUGCAAUGCAGCGACUCUUUGUUACAGCGCUCCAACAGACAGCACGCACACAGACGGAGCAGGGCUGUUUAGGUGACCCACGGGUGACUUCGGUGCACCGUUCGAUCCGUUUCUGCUUCCGUUCUUCUAUCAGAGACUGCAAAUGAACCCCGCUUCUGAAAAGUCCUGGAAACAGAUGAGAAGCCGAAUGCAGCAGUUACACAUCGCGGUAUUUAUUGCCUUGGAAAACUCACAGGCUUCAGUUACUGACUGCGAGACGCACCUGGCCGUUCGGAUGUGUUGCUUUGCUUCUUAUUAGCAAAUCAAUUGAAUCCUGCCUGGGCCGUGUUUCUGUCGGGAGGCGCUGCUCUGCCCGGGGACGGCCCCGCUCCUCCCGGGCCGUGCGGUGUGAGAGCCGCGGGUCCUCCACCGGGGUCCCUCGGGGAGGGCUCGGGGGGGACGGAGCUGCGGGAGGAGCCGUGGAUCGCUUCGCCCCGCGGCCCCGAGCAACGCCACGGCCGCACCGCGCCGCACGCGGCCGGCAGCGCUCCGGCGGCUCUGCGCUUCGGCUGUAAACGUCCAUAGGAAUGUUGGUGCUCGGGGCUCCCGGCCCCAGGGACACGGCUUUUCCCCAUAUAAGGACUGUGAGCGGAGAAGGGCACCGCCGCCCGCUAUUAAAGCCCUCCGAGCUCAUUUGCUGAGGGUUUGCCCAGUCGGUGCGACGAAAAUCCCCUCUGCCGGCAGGACAUCCGCACGCUCCCCACGUUUGAUCAUUCGGUUCCUAUCCAAAAAAAUAAGGAUUAUUUUUUUCCUCUUGGGGAGAGAGACGGGCGGUGCAUCCCUCUGCCGCCGGAGCCCACGAGGACGGAGCGGCGCAGGGACGGGGCUGCUGUGCCCCGACGGCGCUGUCACCGCCGUGCGGCCACGUUACCUCUCCUCGGAAAGAGAUGGGCGUCAUUUAGGAAAUAGAGUCGGAAGCAGACGAGAUUUUCCCGCAGAAGAAGCGAGCUGCACGGGGCACGCCGGCAUUCGUUGAUGGCACAGCCCGGGUGCAGCCAGGAGGCGGCUCCCCCCGACCUGCAGCCGCUCCUCGGGGGGAGCUCCGUUUGUGCCGUUGCCGUCUCCCAGCGGAACCCUGGGCAGAGCCCAGAGGCUGCGGGAUUUGUGUCUCCGUGUAUGUCGGGAGAAGAAGCGGGGACAUUGUAACGUGAUGCUCUCCCCAAGUAGGACUCGGCUACUAGAGGGGAGAUUGAAGACUGACUAUAAGGAAAAUGUUUGUUACGAUAAGAGUGGCCAGGCACUGGAACAGGAUGCCCAGAGAGGCGGUGGCUGCCCCAUACCUGGAGGCACUCAAGGUCAGGCUGGACGGGGCUGAGAGCACCUGAUGGAGCUGUAGGUGUCCCUGUUUGUUGCGAGGGAGCUGGACUAGAUGGCCUUUCAGGGUCUCUUCCAACUCAAACGAUUCUGUAAUUCUAAGGCACGUCCUUCUCUGUUCUGGUGCCUCAGUGCACGAGUUGCCGGCCACCUGAGAAACGUUCGUGCUCAUAGAAAGGAAAAUACAAAACAAAGUAAAAGAAAAUGAAAUAAUAAAAUGAAAUAAAAAUAAUAAAAUAAAAUAUUUUUAAGCGAGG